rnacentral:rRNA from 1 species
UACGGAGGGUGCAAGCGUUAUCCGGAUUCACUGGGUUUAAAGGGUACGUAGGCUGGGCGCUGUGUCAGUGGUGAAAUCCCGCGGCUCAACCGUGGCACUGCCAUUGAAACUGGCGUCCUGGAGUUCGGUCGAGGUAGGCGGAAUGUAGCAUGUAGCGGUGAAAUGCAUAGAUAUGCUACGGAACACCGAUAGCGGAGGCAGCUUACCAGGCCGCGACUGACGCUGAGGUACGAAAGCGUGGGUAGCGAACAGG